GCGCGUCCCUUUCUCUCUCUCGAUCUCUCAAACCAUCUCUCACGAACCCAUCUUCUCUCCCCAGCCACCCCCUGUCUCUCAAUCUCAUGAAGACUCCCCUCUCACGACAUAAUCUGCGUCUAUUUUAGCAUGUUAUGUCAGAACCCUUUGAGCCAUCACCUUUCAUGCCUCCUGUUACCAAGGGGUUUGAUAACGACUUUGAUACAACGACUAGCAAGCAACAAAGAAGCCAAGUUGCUGCCUUAGUUAGAUCAUCAACUAGUGAAAAAGAGGCUGGUUCGAAGGAGAGCAACCUGGUGAAGAUUAGAUAAAAGUUGUGGUAUGUUGCUUCCAUUCUUUACUACCAGCCACUCACCAUCUGAGACGUUUGUCCGCUAAGCAUGUUUGCAUGCCAGGUUCGAAAAAGGCCUUUGAACAAGGAGCUGUCUCGAAAAGAAGAGGAUAUUGUAACCAUCUAUGAUAAUGCAUACUUAACUGUUCAUGAGCCAAAGCUAAAGGAAUUGAAGUUUUAAUCCAAGAAAAGGUUUGAUUUUUAAAUUGAAUGUGUUAGAGCUUGUGGUUUAAUUAUUUAUUUUUCUUUCUAAGGUUUGGGUCUAAUAUUGGAAUCAAUGUUUUUUUUUUUUUCCAGUUGUUUUAUUAAAAAUGAGAUCGAUAAACUAUUGCUGGAGUUCAGAUCUUUGAGUGCUGGUGGAAUUGCAAAUGCAUCUAAUUCUGUGACUAGCAGAUCUAAAUAGGAUGGAGGCCAUGUUUUAAUAAUCUGUUACAAGGCUAGGAUGGUGCUGACUACCAUAUGUACAUUUUCAGAGAUGAAUAUGGUGAUAAUGUCUAGAUUAUAAUUGGAGAUGACUUGAUACAUGCGGAUGCACGUUGUUGUGUCGGAAGGUCGAAGUGGCUUGCCUAUGCUAUCUUUGACUUUGUGAGUUGAAGAGAUCUAUUGUUUCUAGCAGCAAGGCAGAAAUUUUGGGAUGCAAAUCACAGUUUGGUUUCCUUUUUGCUUGCAUUACUCCUAUCCUUAUUGCAUGGAUAUAUUCAGAGAUUCUGGAGCAUAAUAGAUCUUCAUCUCCUCCCAAAGUUGUCCAUGGCCAAUAGAAGAUCAUGAGCUCAAGGUGAAGGACUCCAAGACGGUUCUUUUUGGUGAGAAACCAGUUACUAUCUUCAGUGUUUGCCAUGUGCAGUAAGCUUUCGGAUCAAAGCGAAGCUGAGGAUAGGGUGUUAGUUGAUGGAAAAUUAAUAACCAGUAGAGGCACAUCCAUGGAGUUCUCGCUUGCGAUUGUCGAGAAGCUAUUUGGCUGCGAGAAGGCAUUGUAUCUUGCUGUCAAUGAGAAAUUUAAAUAGACAUAUAACUAUUAUGUUGGUAUUGUACUUUUGUAAAUGGAUUAAAAUGAAUGAAUGAAUGAAUGAUUCAGCCA